CUGGCCACAAGGCCUCCCUCUGUAACUUAUGAGCGUCCCCCUUGUCCUGUGCUGAGCUGGAAGUCUGAGAUGUGCAGACGCCAGUUGAGGGGCUCUACAAUAUCUGUGCCUUUGAAACACUGCAGACCUUUCCCAUCAAAGCCACAUCCCACCAGAAAAUGCCAGGCUCCAAAUAGAGCCACAUGCAACACAUCCAAUCAUAAAUGGCAUGUGAGGCUUAAGCCUGCCCCUGAAGUACUCCGGCCCAAUGAGCAUCCGGGCCGAGACUCUAAACCUCCCCCAUUCCACCUUGGUCUUCCUGCCUGGGACAUUGAGCAUGCUCAGACUUGAGGACGUUAAGGAACUGCUGAGGAGCUGCUGAGCCGUUGUGGAGGGGGUCUGUGGAGUUCAUCUGUGCCUGUGGGAUCUGCAAUAUCCCCUUUUUCGUUCCUUAUAAAAUGAAACUCUGCUCUCUAUCUUCUACCAUACACAAGCUCUGCACCAAAUGUGCCAUAGACCAGAUACCCUGAAAAUGCCAAAGGACACUGUAGAGAAAAUACUCCCAUUGCUAAGCACAGCAGCAGAACCUCGAAGAAAAGUUAUACAGUUGCCCAGCAGGGAUACCUCUUUGUGGUCUCAGCCUGGAUGCCUGUGGCAGCAGUUGCAGUAGGAACAGCCCACCUGGAAGUCUUCGGGUCAACAUCAUUGUAUCCUGGGAACCCACAAUUUCCUGUUCUCCACCAAGUUCUGGAUGGCCAAACCAAAAGAAAACCCUCUAAGGCAGAAAGCCACGAGUCGAUCAUGAAAAGUACCAGGGAUGGGCCAAUGAGAUGGGUAGUUGGGUGGAAGGAAAGAGCUGACUCCUCCUAUUUGUUCAUUGACCUCCAUAUGAACAGAAUGACAAAAUGGCAUGGCGUGUAAUCUAUAUUCAUUCUCUCUCAACCAUAUGUAUGUAUUUAUUUCCUCAUCACAAAAUAAGCAAAUAGGUAGAUAGAUGUUAUUAUUUUAAAUACCAAUCAGAAGAUUUCUAUACACUUAUCAUAUGAUAUAAUUAAUUUUUAAAAUAACAAUAAAAAAUCUCAUGCAGCUCACAACUGUUUGUAACUCCAGGACCAGAGAAGUUGACACCCUCACACAGGCAUACAUAAAGGCAAAACACUAAUGUGCAUAAAAUAGUGAAUAAACAAUUAAAUAUUUGUUGGAUCUAGUGGCGUCAGGAGCCCCACAAGCAUCCACAGAACUAACUAACCUAGGUUCAUAGUGACUCAGAGACUGAACCACUAACCAGGGAGCAUGCAUGGGACUGACCUAGGUCCUCUGCAUGUAUUUUACAGUUGUAUAACUUGAUCUUCUUGUGAAACUCCUAACAAUGGGAGCAGGGCUUGUCUCUAAUGCCUGCUUUUGGGACCCAUUCCUCCUACUGAAUUGCUCCAUCUAGCCUGAAUGUAAGAAGUCAUGCCUAGUCUCACCACAACUUGAUAUAACAUGGCAGGCAGAUAUGCACAGGAGGCCUGCCCAUUUCUGAAGAGAAAAAAGAAGAGGAGGAAUGGAUGGGGAGCAGGAA